GCAUGGCGCCCGGGCUAAAGCCCCGACGGGAGGGGAUGGCUCCGCGGCCCAUCAGGUAGACGGCGGGGUGACGGCCCACCGUGCCGACAACGGGUAGCCGGGUUGAGAGACCGACCGGCCAGAUUGGGACUGAGACACGGCCCAGACUCCUACGGGAGGCAGCAGUGGGGAAUCUUGCGCAAUGGGGGGAACCCUGACGCAGCGACGCCGCGUGCGGGACGGAGGCCUUCGGGUCGUAAACCGCUUUCAGCAGGGAAGAGUCAAGACUGUACCUGCAGAAGAAGCCCCGGCUAACUACGUGCCAGCAGCCGCGGUAAUACGUAGGGGGCGAGCGUUAUCCGGAUUCAUUGGGCGUAAAGCGCGCGUAGGCGGCCCGGCAGGCCGGGGGUCGAAGCGGGGGGCUCAACCCCCCGAAGCCCCCGGAACCUCCGCGGCUUGGGUCCGGUAGGGGAGGGUGGAACACCCGGUGUAGCGGUGGAAUGCGCAGAUAUCGGGUGGAACACCGGUGGCGAAGGCGGCCCUCUGGGCCGAGACCGACGCUGAGGCGCGAAAGCUGGGGGAGCGAACAGGAUUAGAUACCCUGGUAGUCCCAGCCGUAAACGA
rnacentral:rRNA from 1 species